GAUGAAGAACGUAGUAAAUGCGAUAAGUAAUGUGAAUUGCAGAAUUCCGUGAAUCAUCGAAUCUUUGAACGCACAUUGCGCCCUCUGGUAUUCCGGGGGGCAUGCCUGUCCGAGCGUCAUUUGCAACCCUCAAGCCCGGCUUGUGUGAUGGGUGCCGUCCCCUACGGGACGCGCCCCGAAGGCAAUGGCGGCGUCGCGGUUAUCCGAUCAGCCAAAGUGUAUGGGGCUUUGUCACUCACUUUACGGCCCGGACCGGCGCCAGUCCGAAUCAAUCUUUUUUCUAAAGUUGACCUCGGAUCAGGUAGGGAUACCCGCUGAACUUAAGCAUAUCAAUAAGCGGAGGA
rnacentral:misc_RNA from 1 species